rnacentral:rRNA from 1 species
UACGGGGGGGGCAAGCGUUGUUCGGAAUUACUGGGCGUAAAGGGCUCGUAGGUGGCCAACUAAGUCAGACGUGAAAUCCCUCGGCUUAACCGGGGAACUGCGUCUGAUACUGGAUGGCUUGAGUUUGGGAGAGGGAUGCGGAAUUCCAGGUGUAGCGGUGAAAUGCGUAGAUAUCAGGAGGAACACCUGCGGUGUAGACGGCUUACUGGACCAUAACUGACGCUGAGGCACGAAAGCGUGGGUAGCAAACAGG